AGGGUCAGUCCAUCUCCAUCCUGCUUUCCUUUUCUUUCUUUUCAACAAAUAUUGAUGGAGCACCUCCUCGGUGCCAGGCGCUGCUGCAGCCUCUAGGAAAUCAACCGUGGAAACACACGGACCCUGCCCUCCCGGCGCCAGUGUUCUGGUGGUCAGGAGGUGAAGAAAACCAGCAAGAACCAGCACAGGAAUCCGACGGUGGCAGCGCCGAGAGAAACAAGCUUGGAGGGGAAGGAGAGCUACAGAGGCUGCAUGGAUGUGAUGGUUGGAGUGGAAGCUGACAUUGUGGGCCAGGAGACCCUGGGAGUACAGGCCAAGAUGAAAAGAGCCUCAAUCCAGAGCGUUCUGUGAAGCAGUCACCACGGCCACCCUGGGCCAUCAGCUUCUGGACUUUUACAACAUAGAAAUUAAAUUUCCAUUGAAUUUGUUGGAGUCAUUGUUCCUUCAGCUCUCUGUUACCUGCACUUACAUCUCUCUGUGAGUCGCGGAGUCUUGCAGUUAAGGUAUUAAUAUUAUUGCGUCUCAAGGUGCCUCAGGUCAGAGGUUCCAAAGGUGAAUGAGGGCACAGCUCUCCGUCUGAGACUCACGGUGGAGAAGCCUCCUCACCUUGCUCCUUCUCCCUGUCACCAAGAAAGGAGGUCUGGGGGAAGGAAGGGGUCCGUGUGGCCCUCCCGCCCCCACACUGUCCCUCUUGGAUUCUGCUAGCCUGUGGGUGUGGGCAGCAGCUCAGCCUGGCCCUGGAAUUUUCCAUAAAGGUCUUUCCAGGUAAGAAUGAUUAGACAACAUAUUUUGUAUUCAUUAUUAUAUAGUGCGUUUUAAAUGUUAUUUACGUGUAUGUGGGUGGGUAAGAUUUAAUGGCUAAAGAGUGCUAGACAGCGGGAGCCAGGAGUGUGUCUGGGCUUGUCACAUGAAUUCCUGCAGAAAUAAUUCUCUUUUGGAGAAUGCUGAACGUCAUACCUUCCUGAUCGUAACCUCAACGUGGCCCUAAGCGCCCUGUCCAGGGCCCCAGAGUUUCUGAACUCAGCUUAAGUCAGCUCCCCAAAUUCAGCAGAAAGUGGGAGGAGUUGGGGCUGUU
rnacentral:lncRNA from 1 species